UACGUAGGGUGCAAGCGUUAAUCGGAAUUACUGGGCGUAAAGCGUGCGCAGGCGGUUUUGUAAGACAGAUGUGAAAUGCCCGGGCUUAACCUGGGAACUGCAUUUGUGACUGCAAGGCUAGAGUUUGGCAGAGGGGGGUAGAAUUCCACGUGUAGCAGUGAAAUGCGUAGAUAUGUGGAGGAAUACCGAUGGCGAAGGCAGCCCCCUGGGUCAAGACUGACGCUCAUGCACGAAGGCGUGGGGAGCAAACAGG
rnacentral:rRNA from 1 species